UUUGUUAAAUUUAACAACAUUAUGUACACAGCAGUAUGACCUCCAGCUCAGUCUCAGGCCUCUGGGACUGAUGAGAAAAGGCUCUCAUCUCAUUUCUGCCACUGAACAGCUGAAUGUCACUGGAUAAGUCACUUGUCAUCUGAGGCCUAGUUGGAGAUGAUUCACAUACAGUACUUAACUUGGCACCUAUCUCCCAGUAAGUAGCUGCUCCAUGAAUGGGAUCGAGUAGCAAAGUCAGAUGCAAAUACUGCUUCAUAGAUUAAAGAUGACUCACUUAUCCUUAUCACCUCUGAGCCUUCUAACAGUCUCUAUAAGACAAUUGAUGAAAGUGUUAUAUUUACUUUACAGAUGGGGAAAGUGAAUCCCAGAAAGGUAACCAAGCAGGGUAGAAGGUAUAAGUGCCGUGUGAGUGACCCAGAGAAGGAAAGGGUCUGGUUUCUCACCCUAGCUCUGCUCCUGACCCCCUGGAUACACUCCUCUCCAGGAUCACUUUUCACACAUGGCAGUGGGCUGGGCCCAGGAAAUAUGCUAUCCAGGAGUCUAGAGCUUGAGUGACAAAACCAGGAUGAAGACAUUGCCUUUCCCCUUCAGCAUCCUGGCUAGUCCUUUGCUUAGAAUGAAGUCCUAAGUUCCUAGGGUCUCCAAGGCAGAUCAAGUUGACUACUUAGGGGGUGGUGGAAUACUUGUCCCCAUCUUCUGACUCUUUCAUUCCAAAUAGUGUGCAAAGAGCUCAAAGAGACAAGAAACAAGGGCUCUGGCCCCACUUUAGCUGCUGACUCACUCGAGGAUGCUCUUCUUUCUAUGCCUUAGUUUCCUCAUCUCUAAAAUGGGUAUUUGAUUUAAAAAAUAGUCAGGAAAUUACUUUGAAAACAUCAAAAAUGCUAUUGUAAAUGGCUAUUGGAUUCUGAAUAGCAAUAUGGACCCAAUAUUGGAACCCUCACAUUGGCCUUUCUGCAGCAGUAGCUGCGUAUCCAUCUGUUUCCUCAGAUCCUGACUGAGGCGGUAAAGACGUAGGAGGAAGACGUGGGUAGAAGGAAGAAAAGCAAAUAAGACCUACCUUCUGCUUCUGAAGACCUUAAAUAAGUUUUUCAAAGGGUGGAGAAUACAGAAUUGUGCCCACUUCGUCUCAGUACUUGUGAGAUGUUGAACUUGGAGGUUUCUUGCUCCCUGGGCCCACUGGAGGGAUGAGCUGCCAAUUUGGAAUUGCUAGCCUACAGCCCUAAGAAACUUAGUAUUUGGAGAAAAGAGUCCAGAGGCAAAGUGAGGGAAAGCUGGUCACAUCUGCCUACUGUCCUAAAGCUUGCAGCUGUAUGACUGACUCAUUCUGCAUCCCAUGGAGCUGAGGACUAGUGCUUAUUAGCAAUCUCUCAGCAGGAACAGAAGACUGUUUGUCUCUUGUGCUACUGUGUCUAAAAAGAUGGGGAAAGACAGGAAACUAUAAGCAUUUUCUGAUGCUGAGUAAAUGGAUGAACAGAAGACUAACAUCCAGAGUAUCGUGAACAUAAAACCACAUUCACUAAGGCCAGUAGGAAGACAUGGGAUACCCUCUUACCAAAGUCCCUGCAUCUAGCACAGUUGCCAUGUGAUCAAGAAGAGACUCCCUAAGAUCCAGAUUCUUCCAAGGGAAGGAGGAGAUAUUUAAAUCAAGACCAGAGAGAUUGGGGAUCCCUGGGUGGCUCAGCGGUUUAGCGC